rnacentral:rRNA from 1 species
UGGGGGAUAUUGCACAAUGGGGGGAACCCUGAUGCAGCGACGCCGCGUGGAGGAAGAAGUAUCUCGGUAUGUAAACUCCUAUCAGCAGGGAAGAAAGAAGACGGUACCUGACUAAGAAGCCCCGGCUAACUACGUGCCAGCAGCCGCGGUAAUACGUAGGGGGCGAGCGUUAUCCGGAUUUACUGGGUGUAAAGGGAGCGUAGACGGCCAUGCAAGCCUGAUGUGAAAGGUGUGGGCACAACCCGCACACUGCAUUGGGAACUGUAUGGCUAGAGUGUUGGAGGGGCAGGCGGAAUUCCUGGU